rnacentral:rRNA from 1 species
CCUACGGGUGGCAGCAGUCGAGAAUCAUUCACAAUGGGCGAAACCCUGAUGGUGCGACGCCGCGUGGGGGAAUGAAGGUCUUCGGAUUGUAAACCCCUGUCAUGUGGGAGCAAAUUAAAAAGAUAGUACCACAAGAGGAAGAGACGGCUAACUCUGUGCCAGCAGCCGCGGUACUACAGAGGUCUCAAGCGUUGUUCGGAAUCACUGGGCGUAAAGCGUGCGUAGGCUGUUUCGUAAGUCGUGUGUGAAAGGCGCGGGCUCAACCCGCGGACGGCACAUGAUACUGCGAGACUAGAGUAAUGGAGGGGGAACCGGAAUUCUCGGUGUAGCAGUGAAAUGCGUAGAUAUCGAGAGGAACACUCGUGGCGAAGGCGGGUUCCUGGACAUUAACUGACGCUGAGGCACGAAGGCCAGGGGAGCGAAAGGGAUUAGAUACCCCAGUAGUC